rnacentral:misc_RNA from 1 species
UUUCCGUAGGUGAACCUGCGGAAGGAUCAUUACAGAGUUCAUGCCCUCACGGGUAGAUCUCCCACCCUUGAAUAUUUAUACCUUAGUUGCUUUGGCAGGCCGUGGAAACACCAUGGGCUCCGGCUUAUGCGUGCCUGCCAGAGGAAACAAACUCUGUUUUUAGUGAUGUCUGAGUACUAUAUAAUAGCUAAAACUUUCAACAACGGAUCUCUUGGUUCAG